CAAAUUUUCUCUAUAAUUCCAUCACUUGCUUUCUCAGUUGGAGGAGACAGAGAGAGGAGGAAAACAAAUUAGGGUUUCUACAUUCCAAUUGUGCCUUUGAAGGUAUCUGCAUUAUAUUUUCUNCCAUGGCAUUGGCAUUUACCAAUCUUUCAUGGUGGUUAUGGAGUGGAAAGCAUCAGAAGCCUAGCAUCUCUAAUGCAUCCUCUUUAAAUGCCAGACCUGAUUCAGACUUAAGGGAAUCAGAUACUCUGAAAUUUCCUUUGGUUCAGGAGGCUAAUGUGGCUUCCUCUUCUAGAAGGGUUAAGCGAAAAUGGCAUAGCCGGGA
rnacentral:misc_RNA from 1 species